rnacentral:rRNA from 1 species
UGGGGAAUAUUGGACAAUGGGCGCAAGCCUGAUCCAGCAAUACCGUGUGUGUGAAGAAGGCCUUUGGGUUGUAAAGCACUUUUGUGGGGGAAGAAGGGGUAUGGAUGAAUAGUCUAUAUUUUUGACGUUACCCCAAGAAUAAGCACCGGCUAACUCUGUGCCAGCAGCCGCGGUAAUACAGAGGGUGCGAGCGUUAAUCGGAAUUAUUGGGCGUAAAGGGUGUGUAGGUGGUUUGAUAAGUUAGGUGUGAAAUACCUGGGCUCAACCUGGGUGCUGCAUUUAAUACUGUUGAGCUGGAGUAUGGGAGAGGCAAGUGGAAUUUCCGGUGUAGCGGUGAAAUGCGUAGAUAUCGGAAGGAACAUCAGUGGCGAAGGCGGCUUGCUGGACUAAUACUGACACUGAGGCACGAGAGCAUGGGGAGCAAACAGG